rnacentral:rRNA from 1 species
AGCGAACGCUGGCGGCAGGCUUAACACAUGCAAGUCGAGCGGACCUUUCGGGGUCAGCGGCGGACGGGUGAGUAACGCGUGGGAACGUGCCUUCCGGUUCGGAAUAACCCUGGGAAACUAGGGCUAAUACCGGAUACGCCCUUAUGGGGAAAGGUUUACUGCCGGAAGAUCGGCCCGCGUCUGAUUAGCUAGUUGGUGGGGUAACGGCCUACCAAGGCGACGAUCAGUAGCUGGUCUGAGAGGAGGAUCAGCCACACUGGGACUGAGACACGGCCCAGACUCCUACGGGAGGCAGCAGUGGGGAAUAUUGGACAAUGGGCGCAAGCCUGAUCCAGCCAUGACGGGUGAGUGAUGAAGGCCUUAGGGUUGUAAAGCUCUUUUAUCCGGGACGAUAAUGACGGUACCGGAGGAAUAAGCCCCGGCUAACUUCGUG